rnacentral:tRNA from 1 species
GGAGGGGUGGCCGAGUGGCUGAAGGCGACGGUUUGCUAAACCGUUAGGCGGCGACAAGCUGUCUCGGGGGUUCGAAUCCCCCUCCCUCCGCCA